rnacentral:rRNA from 1 species
UACGUAGGGUGCGAGCGUUAAUCGGAAUUACUGGGCGUAAAGCGUGCGCAGGCGGUUUUGUAAGACCGAUGUGAAAUCCCCGGGCUUAACCUGGGAACUGCAUUGGUGACUGGCAGGCUUUGAGUGUGGCAGAGGGAGGUAGAAUUCCACGUGUAGCAGUGAAAUGCGUAGAGAUGUGGAGGAAUACCGAUGGCGAAGGCAGCCUCCUGGGCCAACACUGACGCUCAUGCACGAAAGCGUGGGGAGCAAACAGG